GUUUGCGUGGCCGCUGAGUUGCCGGCGCCGGCUGAGCCAGCGGACGCCGCGUUCCUUGGCGGCCGCCGGUUCCCGGGAAGUUACGUGGCGAAGCCGGCUUCCGAGGAGACGCCGGGAGGCCACGGGUGCUGCUGACGGGCGGGCGACCGGGCGAGGCCGACGUGGCCGGGCUGCGAAAGCUGCGGGAGGCCGAGUGGGUGGCCGCGCUCGGAGGGAGGUGCCGGUCGGGCGCGCCCCGUGGAGAAGACCCGGGCGGGGCGGGCGCUUCCCGGACUUUUGUCCGAGUUGAAUUCCCUCCCCCUGGGCCGGGCCCUUCCGGCCGCCCCCGCCCGUGCCCCGCUCGCUCUCGGGAGAUGUUUAUUUGGGCUGUGGCGUGAGGAGCGGGCGGGCCAGCGCCGCGGAGUUUCGGGUCCGAGGAGCCUCGCGCGGCGCUGGAGAGAGACAAGAUGUCCGCCAGAGCUGCGGCCGCCAAGAGCACAGCAAUGGAGGAAACAGCUAUAUGGGAACAACAUACAGUGACGCUUCACAGGGCUCCUGGAUUUGGAUUUGGAAUUGCAAUAUCUGGUGGACGAGAUAAUCCUCAUUUUCAGAGUGGGGAAACGUCAAUAGUGAUUUCAGAUGUGCUGAAAGGAGGACCAGCUGAAGGACAGCUACAGGAAAAUGACCGAGUUGCAAUGGUUAACGGAGUUUCAAUGGAUAAUGUUGAACAUGCUUUUGCUGUUCAGCAACUAAGG
rnacentral:lncRNA from 1 species